CUUCCACAGUGCACUGAAA
rnacentral:miRNA from 1 species